UUUUUCAUGAGCAUUCUUGGGGUUAAGCAUGGUCUGUGCCAGUCAGACCACACUGCACGGUAUGAGAAGCCACACAAACGGAGGCUCUGUUCUCCCAGCCCUCUCACAAGCACCGAACCAGGAAAACAACAGCGCUCUCUCUCGUCAACGAGCAGCUCCCUUUUCCAUAUAAUAAGGGGGUCAAAAGCCAGACAACCUCCAGGCCUGGGGACGCAGAUCAACCCCUGGGGACCUGCAGCUCACUGGCUCCAGGGGAGGAGAUCAAUUCUGCUUGGUCAGAAAUGGAAAACCAUGCAUCCCCUUGGUCAACUGCUGUAAGAUUUAAAAACCUCGCCAUAGGGCAGCUCCGUCAGCUCCUUGGAAAAUGACGACAGCUCUGAGGCGCGCAGCCAGGCCCGGCAGUGCGGCAGGAUUUAAGCGCUGCCGCUGGAGACUCUGCCCGUCUCGUGAGGCACUUUCACCCCCCGCCUCCCGCUGCUCUCCUCUUUCUCACCCGGCCCCAGCCUUCUUCUACACAGGUCCCUGCUUCUCACUUAAUUCUACCCAACACACGUGAGAGACAGACACACAGCUAAUUCCGGGCCUGUCUUUUUUCCAUAUCUCUUCAGCAGCAAGCAGCAAGCUGUGAAACGCUUUGUGGGUGACAGAUUGUGUUUUCAAGUGAAAUGGUGUUGCUUAUUUAAGGCAGAGGGUGAAAAUGAUUAUUCCAAGACAUGAAAAUCACGUGCACUCUUAAUACCUAGGUGAUAUGCAGACAAAAUGUAAAGGUUACCCUUAGAAAAAUAAAAUUCCAGCUUUUUGGCCCCCAUACCAUUUGUUUAUACUUCCCCUAAGGGACAGAUACAGAGAACCCAGGCAAUGUCUUAACAGCUUUUGGUCAAUAGGUGGCACAGUGUUGAUUCGAUUCACUCUUUUCAUCAAGUGUGAACAAACAGACUGUGUAUUUAAUGGUCUACAUACCGUGCACGCACUCAGGUCUUCUGUCCUGAGUAUUACAAUGAGAGACUGCCUCGAUUGUUUCAGUGAAGAUCGUUGUGUAACUCCCGGAUAUUCUUGAAACCUAAACCCUAUCCUUCAGAAUGCCCAGCCACUAAAAGCGUUGUUUU